rnacentral:lncRNA from 1 species
GGUUUCCCAUCAAAUAGCUACUUGAUUUGAAUAAUGGUCCCAAAAAUAGCUAGUGCAUGUAAUGAUGUGCAAGGGUCCCAAUUGCCAGUCACCACUGCUGGCAUCUUGUUGUAAAUAUAUUUAAUAAUUUAUAUAUAAAAGAAUCUUUAAAUAUGUUUAAUAAUUUACAGUGCUAUUCAUGGCGGCCUUGUAUAGUAAUACAUAUACU